rnacentral:ncRNA from 1 species
AGCAAAGCGAUGAUGGAAACAAGUAGAAUAGAGAUUGCUAUUUUCAGAGACUAUUCGGUUGGUGCGAGAAUAGAGGCAUCCUAUAUUGAAUACAUUCCUAAGCUGCUUCCUGAACAGAAUCUUUAGAUUCCCAUUAGGGCAAGCCGGGUACGCCCGAUACAGCGUACGAUGUGUAUUGGCACAUCAAGAGGAGUAUUUUGUGAGAAAUACUUGAUCCAGAGGUGGUACCGCGAUUAUCAUUGCCCUCUGU